rnacentral:rRNA from 1 species
AACGAACGCUGGCGGCAGGCCUCAAACAUGCAAGUCUAGGGGGUGUAGCAAUACAUCACCGGCGGACGGGUGCGUAACGCGUGGGAAUAUACCUAUUGGUUCGGAACAACUGAGGGAAACUUCAGCUAAUACCGGAUACGUCCUAACGGAGAAAGAUUUAUCGCCAAUAGAUUAGCCCGCGUUCGAUUAGCUAGUUGGUGGGGUAACGGCCCACCAAGGCGACGAUCGAUAGCUGUUCUGAGAGGAAGAUCAGCCACACUGGGACUGAGACACGGCCCAGACUCCUACGGGAGGCAGCAGUUGGGAAUCUUGGACAAUGGGGGAAACCCUGAUCCAGCCAUGCCGCGUGAGUGAUGAAGGCCUUCGGGUUGUAAAACUCUUUCGCGCACGACGAUAAUGACGGUAGUGCGAGAAGAAGCUCCGGCUAACUUCGUG